rnacentral:rRNA from 1 species
UACGUAGGGUGCGAGCAUUGUCCGGAUUUACUGGGCGUAAAGGGAGCGUAGGCGGACUUUUAAGUGAGAUGUGAAAUACCCGGGCUCAACUUGGGUGCUGCAUUUCAAACUGGAAGUCUAGAGUGCAGGAGAGGAGAAUGGAAUUCCUAGUGUAGCGGUGAAAUGCGUAGAGAUUAGGAAGAACACCAGUGGCGAAGGCGAUUCUCUGGACUGUAACUGACGCUGAGGCUCGAAAGCGUGGGGAGCAAACAGGAUUAGAUA